GUCUACAGCCAUACCACCCUGAAUGUGCCCCAUCUCGUCUGAUCUUGGAAGCUAAGCAGGGUCAGGCCUGGCUGGUACUUGGAUGAGAGACAAAAAGAAAACUAUGAUAGAAGCCC
ensembl:rRNA 5S_rRNA 5S ribosomal RNA